CACGUAGGCACCAAGCGUUGUCCGGAAUUAUUGGGCGUAAAGAGCGUGUAGGCGGUCCGGUAAGUCAGCUGUGAAAGUCAAGGGCUCAACCCUUGAAAGCCGGUUGAUACUGUCGGGCUAGAGUCCGGAAGAGGCGAGUGGAAUUCCUGGUGUAGCGGUGAAAUGCGCAGAUAUCAGGAGGAACACCAAUUGCGAAGGCAGCUCGCUGGGACGUAACUGACGCUGAGACGCGAAAGCGUGGGGAGCAAACAGG
rnacentral:rRNA from 1 species